GAUGAACGCUGGCGGCGUGCCUAAUACAUGCAAGUCGAGCGAACGGACGAGAAGCUUGCUUCUCUGAUGUUAGCGGCGGACGGGUGAGUAACACGUGGAUAACCUACCUAUAAGACUGGGAUAACUUCGGGAAACCGGAGCUAAUACCGGAUGAUAUUUUGAACCGCAUGGUUCAAAAGUGAAAGACGGUCUUGCUGUCACUUAUAGAUGGAUCCGCGCUGCAUUAGCUAGUUGGUAAGGUAACGGCUUACCAAGGCAACGAUGCAUAGCCGACCUGAGAGGAUGAUCGGACACACUGGAACUGAGACACGGUCCAGACUCCUACGGGAGGCAGCAGUGGGGAAUCUUCCGCAAUGGGCGAAAGCCUGACGGAGCAACGCCGCGUGAGUGAAGAAGGUCUUCGGAUCGUAAAACUCUGUUAUUAGGGAAGAACAUAUGUGUAAGUAACUGUGCACAUCUUGACGGUACCUAAUCAGAAAGCCACGGCUAACUACGUG
rnacentral:rRNA from 1 species